AUCCAGACUCCUACGGGAGGCAGCAGUGGGGAAUAUUGGGCAAUGGGCGAAAGCCUGACCCAGCAAUGCCGCGUGAAUGAAGAAGGUCUUAGGAUUGUAAAAUUCUGUCCUAUGGGAAGAAACAAAUGACGGUACCAUAGGAGGAAGCCCCGGCUAACUACGUGCCAGCAGCCGCGGUAAUACGUAGGGGGCUAGCGUUAUCCGGAAUUACUGGGCGUAAAGGGUGCGUAGGUGGUUUCUUAAGUCAGAGGUGAAAGGCUACGGCUCAACCGUAGUAAGCCUUUGAAACUGGGGAACUUGAGUGCAGGAGAGGAGAGUGGAAUUCCUAGUGUAGCGGUGAAAUGCGUAGAUAUUAGGAGGAACACCAGUUGCGAAGGCGGCUCUCUGGACUGUAACUGACACUGAGGCACGAAAGCGUGGGGAGCAAACAGGAUUAGAUACCCGUGUAC
rnacentral:rRNA from 1 species